CCUCUGGUAACUUGAACCUGAAAUCCUUGUGUCGAACCCUUCAAUGCAACCUUUCUCAGUGGACCCAUAACUCAUAUACUGAGGGCGAUAACACAGGUGCUCAAUCAUCAACAUAUGUAAUAGCAAAUUGCACCCUCGAAGAAAUCUUCCCCAGCUCUACAAGCGGUGAGAGCUCGGUAUAUCUCAGGUACUAUCGUAGGGGCAAGGGUGCUCUUGGCAUUGAUAAUCAAGGCUUUAACGAC
rnacentral:lncRNA from 1 species